ACGUACCUAUCUGCUUUAAAUAUUAUUCUAACAUUUCAUUACAUAGGUGCAAACGAGACAUAACACUACUUCUAGAUAAUUGCACAUAGGCCCAAUAAACACACACACACAUAUGCAGAUAAUUAGGGUAAUUGAAAAGUUGCGGUAACCGUGUUUUCACGAAAGUCGGGGGGUGCCUAACACCUCCCUUCGCUUAAUUAAGCCCCCGAACUCAAUGAAUCUCGAUUUAUAAGGCCAAUUAAAUAGUGUCCAACCAUUGGGCCUUUCUGUAAACCUUUUCAAAAUCGGUUGAGUUGGUAUAACCAUUUUAAAUCUACCAACUGACGACUCUAAUUUUCAAAUAGUCGACAUUUACAUGUCGGACCUUUUCAAACUCGCCUUUUCAAACAAAACUCAACCAAAUGAGAACACAAAAGGGUAAGAACAGAAAGUGACACAAAUUUUCCCGACGUCGACACUAAUCAUGAAUUAAUAUGGUGGUACUUGAUGUAGUAAAUUGUAUUUAACCAUUUUCUGAUCAACAACAUGUAAGCAUUCUUCUUCUCCGAAUGAAAGAAGCUCAACAUCCUCGAUAACUGUAGAUGCAAUAUUCUUCUCCUCAACCUUCCCUUGCUUACGAAUUUUCUGCUUGUCUAACCAGAUCUUGCAAUUUCUUUUGAAUGACCCUCCUUGCUACAAUGGUAAUACCUGUAUAUAACACCUUCUAUGGUCUUUGACUUGCUCCAAUGAUUUUUGGAAUUUUUGUUUUUGCUGCAAUUCAUGUUUCCUUAUGAGAUCCCCUGAAGUUACUUCUACCCCUGAUCUCUGCCACAAGUGCUUAUGUCUCAAAAUUCAAACCCUGCUCUAUUCGCCUUAUUUCCUCAUUGUGUAUGCUAUCAUUGACCGUCUGCAUGAUUAUUUUUUCUUCCGGAGCUGAAUUGCUUAGUGACACAACCAAAGUUUCCAAACUAUUAGGCAUUGAACUUAGAAACAACAAUGCCUAAAUAUCGUCCUCAAGAUUCAACAUGGUAGACAAUACUGCUUCACCAAUCCUUAGAACUCACUCAUAUGGUCGGAUACACUGCUACCAUAUAUAUUUGUACUUCAGGUUCACGACCUUUCGAAUCAUAAAUGUCUUAUUCUGUGCAUUCUUCUUCUCGUAAAUGGAAUUAAAUGUAGUGUGAAGUGUAUAAGCAUCCAUUUCCUGUGAAACAUAGUGGAACACACUGCGAAACUAUAACUGUCUUUGAUAAAUUAAAUAAAUAAUGCAAUUCAUCAAAUAAAUUAUAACCGCAGAAAAUAAUAGUACGAAAAAUAAACCAAACACAAGAUACCAAAUCUUACGUUGAAAAACCUGUAAAACUAAGUGGUAAAACCACGAGCCGAGGUUCGAAAAGUACACUAUAAUCAACUGUAAGUACAAAUAGUAAUUCCUAGUUUUAUAAUUAAAAACUUGAAAUAUCACAAAAAUUAAAAAAAUACAAUGAUACCUUAAUUUGAAUGAAAACUAAAAUUAUCUUGCCACUCAAAAUCCUCCAAAUUAAUUAAAAUUUUCAAGCAAUUUAUUGAUUAGAAUAGAUGACACACCCGAGAAUAAACCUUUCAAAAAUUCUCAAUUUUCCAUUCAAUCUGCGGUAUAACUCCCUGUAUAUUGCUGCUGCCGAAAUCACCCUCACAAUUGAGUAUGUACUGCUUUUUAUUUCUCCUGUAGCAACUCUCACGUUAUAACCCAAUCCUUGUAGGAUUGAGUUGCCACUAAAAUCCUAAUAAGGAUUCC
rnacentral:lncRNA from 1 species